UCACUCUGAGCUGGAUGAGUGUUGGGACCGUCCUCCAUCUCUGAGUGACGGCUCACUUCUGCCUUUCCUGGACGCUGUUCCUCUGUGAGGUGCUGCGAAUCCGUCCCGUCAGCCCCAUCUUCAUCCUGCACGUUGCUAUGCAGGACACCAGUUUGGGGGGUCACUCUGUGCCUAAAGGUACCUGUGUGCUGUGGGCGAUUCACCACGACCCAAACACUGGGACGAGCCUGACCGAUUCAGACCAGCUGUGGUUUAAUCACUUCAUUGAGCGGUUCCUGGACUCGUCGGGAAGAAGAGCGAUGUUUGGCGCCGGUCCGUGUGUCUGUGUGGGAGAAUCUCUGGCCAGAAUCGAGCUCUUUCUGUUCGCAGUCGCCUCCUGCAUUGCUUCCACUUCAGCGUCCCGCCAGGGGCUUCCCUGCCCGACCUGAAGAGAAAUAUACCAAAUAUCUGGGAUUUGGGAAAUAGCCAGUAAUGCAAAUCCUCCCG